rnacentral:snoRNA from 1 species
AGCAGCCUUGUCAAAUUCAGUACUGUUCUUAUCUGUGCUCAGAACUGGCCCAGCAGGCUGCCACAGCAACAUCUGUAGUUCAUGGGCCCCAAGUCUCUGUUACUGGACCCUGGGGAUAAAAGAAUGCUACAGACACCU